UUUAACCACGGUCUCUGACACGCCCACUAGGUAACAUUUAACCAGUCUCUGACACACCCACUAGGUAACAUUUAACCAGUCUCUGACACACCCACUAGGUGACAUUUAACCACGGUCUCUGACACACCCACUAGGUAACAUUUAACCAGUCUCUGACACGCCCACUAGGUAACAUUUAACCAGUCUCUGACACGCCCACUAGGUGACAUUUAACCACGGUCUCUGACACACCCACUAGGUAACAUUUAACCACGGUCUCUGACACACCCACUAGGUAACAUUUAACCACGGUCUCUGACACGCCCACUAGGAAACAUUUAACCAGUCUCUGACACGCCCACUAGGUGACAUUUAACCACAGUCUCUGACACGCCCACUAGGUGACAUUUAACCACGGUCUCUGACACGCCCACUAGGUGACAUUUAACCACGGUCUCUGACACGCCCACUAGGUGACAUUUAACCACGGUCUCUGACACGCCCACUAGGUGACAUUUAACCACGGUCUCUGACACGCCCACUAGGUGACAUUUAACCACGGUCUCUGACACGCCCACUAGGUAACAUUUAACCACGGUCUCUGACACGCCCACUAGGUGACAUUUAACCACGGUCUCUGACACGCCCACUAGGUGACAUUUAACCACGGUCUCUGACACGCCCACUAGGUAACAUUUAACCACGGUCUCUGACACGCCCACUAGGUGACAUUUAACCACGGUCUCUGACACGCCCACUAGGUGACAUUUAACCACGGUCUCUGACACGCCCACUAGGUGACAUUUAACCACGGUCUCUGACACGCCCACUAGGUGACAUUUAACCACGGUCUCUGACACGCCCACUAGGUGACAUUUAACCACGGUCUCUGACACAC